UGCAUAAAUUUCGGAAAUUUAUUCAAUUCCAAACAAGUCUGAAUUUCGAGUUAUAUAGAGUCUGCAUAAAGUUUAUUACACAUUUAUUUCGUGCCAUUUUCACGUGGCCAUGCCACGCAGUUCGCAGCUUUAAAUUAACAUUUUUAAUUAAAAACAGAGCCGAAGAGACUGGCAGACAGACAGGAGAACAGGCAACAGAGCGCGCUGCACGUGGCGUAUGAGUGAUCUGUCCUCUGCCACGUGUCCAUAGCCCAUUUACAAGUCCGUCUGCUGCAUGCACGCACAUCCGGUCAUCGAACGUGCCGCCCAUGGUCUCCUACCCGUUUCCAUUUCACCGCGAUGGCUUUGGGUCCGCAGCCUUGAGCAACUGACCCACAAUUACAAUCGCCGGGGAAAGAUAAUUGAGAGACGGCGGAGGGUGAUUAAUUACAUCUUCGAAAUCUUCGAGAAACCAUGUAAAUGAAGGACGCAGUGGUUAAGGAGCGGAGCUUACAGCCUUCGAAAAUUAAGAAUGGACUUAAGAAUGAAGGUACUACAUAGUAGCAAUAACAGCGAAGUAUAAUCAUGGUUUAGCCCUAAACACCUUAAUCGACAUUUCUUGCAACUUUAUACCUAGCAUCUUUCAUGUUUGCAAAACAGCCACUCUCCCUCUCUAAAAAUGUAUGUACAUAAAAAAUAAACAUUACUUA